rnacentral:rRNA from 1 species
UACGAGGGGGGCAAAUGUUGUUCGGAAUCACUGGGCGUAAAGGGAGCGUAGGCGGCGUUUUUAAGUCGGGGGUGAAAGCCUGUGGCUCAACCACAGAAUGGCCUCCGAUACUGGGACGCUUGAGUAUGGUAGAGGUUGGUGGAACUGCGAGUGUAGAGGUGAAAUUCGUAGAUAUUCGCAAGAACACCGGUGGCGAAGGCGGCCAACUGGACCAUUACUGACGCUGAGGCGCGAAAGCGUGGGGAGCAAACAGG